rnacentral:rRNA from 1 species
GUAGGGAAUAUUGGACAAUGGGCGAAAGCCUGAUCCAGCCAUGCCGCGUGAUAGAUGAAGGCCCUCUGGGUUGUAAAUAUCUUUUAUCUGGGAAGAAACUCCUCUAUUCUUAGAGGCCUGACGGUACCAGAGGAAUAAGCACCGGCUAACUCCGUGCCAGCAGCCGCGGUAAUACGGAGGGUGCAAGCGUUAUCCGGAUUCACUGGGUUUAAAGGGUGCGUAGGCGGGUUGAUAAGUCAGUGGUGAAAGCUCCGGGCUUAACUUGGAAACUGCCAUUGAUACUGUCAAUCUUGAAUGUCGUAGAGGUAAGCGGAAUGUUGAAUGUAGCGGUGAAAUGCUUAGAUAUGUUACAGAACACCAAUUGCGAAGGCAGCUUACUAUGCGAUAAUUGACGCUGAGGCACGAAAGCGUGGGGAGCAAACAGGAUUAGAAACCCUAGUAGUCC